UUUUCUUACUCCAAGGCAGUUUUUUCACAAUACAGGAAUGUUCUCUACCUGAACUUUGUCUUUCUUUUCUAAUAUGUAUGCAUGAAACUGAGGGCAUCCUUUCACAACUUGAGUUUUAUGUUACGCAGGAAUAAUGGGUUGAGUUGUAGAAACAGUGAGUGAUAUGUAGGCCAUGGCUUUUUCAAAUUACUGCAAGAGAGAAGAAGUUAAUACUGUGUUAGAAGGCCAAGGACUUGUGCUUUCUAGCACAUUGUGAGCAGAUUGGAAGUCUGAGGAACAUAAUGAAGAAUUUGGUAGUUUGUGUGUCAUUAAAUUAAUAUUUGCCACUGAAUGAAGAGUUUCAAUUUCCUCAAUGUGAGAGUGAGCAAAGUACAAUAGCUGAAAUAAAUGUCACAUGUUUAGGAACACUGUCAGCAUGACUAAUUUCUGAUUUUAUUCACAACUGUGUGCAAAAUGCAGUGAUAGAAUAUGGAAGAUUAAUGUAAAAAGGCUAUUGAAUUUUUUGUUUGUUUUCCAGGAAGCGAUUUCAGGAAUCCUUGUCUUAAAUGACCUGAGAUUUGGAGUUCUGCCUAUGUGGCAUCCCAGAUUUCAUGGCUGUAAGAUGAGCAUAACUGUUAUUCAUAUCAAAAAACAUACACCAUGCCUCACCUGCAGUACUGCGUUCAGCUCUGGAGUCCUCAGUACAGGAAAGACACAGACCUGUUGGAGAGGGUCCAGAGAAGGGCCACAAAAAUGAUCAGAGGGAUGGUGCACCUUCUUUGAAAGUCAGUUCUAACCCAAACUAUUCUAUGAUAAUACCAUAACAGCUGUAAGGCAUAGUAAACAUUCACUCAAACAUGGAGCUCCUGUUGCAAGCCUGGAGAGCAUGCAGAGAGUACGUUCCUUUGAUUAUGUGCAUUUAUGGGUUUUUGUCACUUUUAAAAAUAAAAAAUUGGUAUUAAUG